AAACCUAUUGGCGCCCUCCCAGGUAUUCUCCUUUGUUUAGGAAUACAGAGCACUAUCUCUCUCUCUCUCUCUCUCUCACACACACACACAAGCACACAAUCACCACCAAAUCUCACCUUACCUCAGGCGCUUACCACCGGGAAGCAUUCGACAUCGCAGAUUGCCACCGUCACAAAUCGCCACUGUUGUAAAUCACCACCGCCAUGGCCAUAAUACCAGGUCUUUGGAUUCAUGAAAUGGGAUGCUCACUAUUGUACAAGGAAAACCAUCAGAGGCAGUUGUGGAUAUCCAGUAUUCAAUGAUGCAACAAAAUUUGUCCAUAGCUAAUCAAAAAAAGCAUGAUGUAUAGAUUAGUGAUGCAAUAUACAGAGGUGUCGCCAUGUACUUGAGAUGAUUGUUUUGAGGCACUGCUUGUACUUGAAUUACUGUACUUGACUAUUUCUGAAGUGGACCCUGCUUAUAUUGGCACAUAUUUGGGAAAUAUACAUUAGAAUUAGCUGAUACUUGGAUAAUAUAAUUUCAAUUAUUCAAUUACGUUUCAAGAUUUUUAUAUGAUUCAAUAGUUACAUUAAGAUAAGGGGGGAACUAAGUAAAUUAAAGAUAGAGGAUGCUUGGCCUAGCAAUACACACCACAUCACACCACACCACACUAUAUCUGUGAACUCCCUCCAAGAAUCAAGUUAAUGUUGUCAUUGGUUUCAUUGAUACUGGUUAGUUUUCUCUCCCUUUCACAGACUAAUUGGUUCAUUUAUUAGACAAUGCUACCAAUAUAUGUGUGUACAAAUGAGGCAUUCUUCAUUUAUUAGUUCAAUUGAGGAUGCAAAAAGAGUCUCUGGCUCUUCCUAGGAUUAGUAGUUAAAAAUUGAACACGAACCAGUCGCUCUGUAGCUAGGGGUCAAGCCCAAUAAUGGGUUUCUCAAGUUUGAUUUAGAAACUCAACAAGUUUCAAUAAUUUUUGCAUGUUGACUGUUAUGCUACCUAACAUACGACCACCCUCUUUUUUUUUGAACUUGAGACCACUUGUUUAAAAAUUAAAUGCUAAGCAGGACACAAGCGGAGUUCGAGUUGAGUUCCAAUUUAUGAAUAUGUUCAACCUUAACUUAUCUACCUAACAAGUUUGAUCAAAUCAAAACAAGUCAAGCUCAACUGUAACAAAGUAGCACCUAAUGAUUCAAUGGGUUUCAUAUUUAACUGCUAAUCUCUCGCGCUCAUAUUUAACUGCCAACUUGUGUUGUCGAUCUGAUGAUCUAAUGAUUUUGCGGUGGUCUCAACCAUGUUUUUUGGUCCAUGGACUUUUAUCCAAAGAAAACUAUCAUUUAAAGCUAUUGAAUCAUUAGAACAUUCAGGUCUCUUCACUGAUUAAUAUAUCAGAGUUUUUUGAGAGCCCUUAGCCUAAUGUCUAUUUAUAGUUUGUUUAGAAAAGACAUUGCAUGAAUUACAAAAACUUGUGCAUGUUACCUAGCUCAAGCACACUACUAUCCCUGUUCUCUUUCAUGUAAUGUUGUCACCCAUGUGACCGCUCUUUGUGCAGGCUACAAAAAGGAGCCUCUUGGGAUUUUUACAUUUUUUUAGAAACCACUGAGUGCUUCGCUCAAGCUCUUUUGAAGCAGGCUUUGAGUGAGGAUCUAGUUUCUGCCCCUUAAUCUUGUUUUCACAAUUUUUAUUUCCAAAAUAUCAAGGUUAAUGUUAAGUCAAAUAGGCCAAUUUUAGGUAACUAAAACCAGUGUCCCAAAACUAAUGCAACAUUAUUUUUUUCCUGUGCUAAGAUAAGCUUAAAACACAACCACAAUGGGACUUCAGAACCACUGCUUUGUUUCAAACUGCCACACUAAAGUUAGUCUCCAAAUUGUCACAAUAAAGAAGAGCAAAAAAUAUCAUUUUGGUUGGCCCAAACUUACUUAGGAAGCUCCUGAAAGUUGGUUAUUUCCAGGAAUAAUUUAUGAAUCUUAAGUUUGUUUCUAGUGUUGAUGUGCCAAUUUUGUAUUAAAGUAAAAGAACUAUUGGACUACUUAGUAAUUUGGGGUUGAAGGAGUACCAAUAUUUUUCAAAAAUUAUUUUCUUGGGAAAACGAAUUUCAUUUUAUGCCUAUUUCAGUUGUCUUGGUAUUGUUUGAAUGAUGUGUGAUACUGAUCUCGCCACCAUCACCAUGUGUAAUGAUAUUAUGGUUUUAUUGAUAUGGAAUGGACAUGUUUUAUGAUCUUAGUGGCUUUGACUUUGCUUUAUCUAUUUAUUUUUGGCCGUGUUUGUGUAUAAAUAACAUGGUUAGUUGGUGGUUUAACUUCAGGUUUUCUAGUUGGCAAAAUUGAUGUUCACAUUUUACAUGGGUUCUCUGUUUUAAGUCCAUUCAUGACUUUAAAUUGUAGUUUUAAGAUCAAUUGAAAUUUAAAUCAUAAAAUAAAAAAGUGUUACCAAUUGACAGAGAACGCCCGAUUUUGGCUUUGGUCAUACUUCUUGAUCUCAAAGGGUGAAUUGGAAAUUCCUACAAAAUUGAUCUCAAGCUUGCUUGGAGAUUAUAAAACCUAGCAGAUUUAUGGCUUUAAUAACCAUACAAUGUUAGUGAAAAUUUUUAUUCUCUUUGUUAAAGUAGCGUUAUUCAGUGUAAAAUUGUAUGAAUCGAUAUAGAAGUCAAGUGUUCUUUAUCCACUAUUAAAAUUGUGUGUUUAAAAUUCAUGUUCCAUUUUUUCAUUAAAUCUCUAGUCACAAUGCAUAGGUUCAUAGAUGUGGGAAGUAAGUAGAUAUUCUCUAAUAGUUAAGAUGUCUUGAUGUAAUUAACCUUAUUUUUUAUAUUGUGCUGCUAACAGUAAUCUGAGAAAAUGAGAUUAUGGAAUAGCUAUUGGCCAACAAGGCUCUUUUAAGAAACCAUGUCCUCUAGGCUUUGGUUAUUUCAAAGAGGGCUAUGUGAGAAAUUCAUUGGGCUCAAUUGAAAGUCUGUGAUCAAGUUUUAAAAAGAAAGGCUUAGAUUAGCAAGAUUUGCCCCCAAAGAAACCUAGGAAGUACUUUCUAAUUU